AAGCUCACUAGAAGGAGAGAAACAAAACAAGCAGAUCAGUGAGCUGCAAAAAUGGCUUAAACCUUUUACCCAAACUGAAUACUAUUUCUUUCAUGAAAGUCUGCAAAAUAGUUUUUGGAUAAACGUUUGCUCCUAUCUAAAAAAAAUCUGAUUUUAAAUAUACUUAAUUGAAACUUUAUGCUCUGUUCUAGUCAUUCAGUAAGAAGUUCAAUUGCCAAGCCAGCUUGAAUAGAGAAAUAGGAAUUUAAGUGCAGUGAAAUAACUUCCUGAAUAUCAAAGUAAGCAAACUCUACAGUAACAUCGCAAAAUGGCUUCUGUUUUCACACUCAGAACUCUCAGCCCAAAAGGUCAAAGAAACGAGUCACCCUCUCAUCCUUACGGGUUCCUCAAAAACAAGGUUAAAGCAUGUUGGUGAGGCAAAGAAAUGUGCACUGUUGAGUGACAGAUGUAUCAACCCCGCGCUGGGCCAACGGGGGCUGACCAAUCAUUGUGGGCCCAGGAAAUGACACCCCCGCACCCCAACUGCACAUGGUCCAGGUGAAGGGGACAGAUAAAAGGAGGCCGCUCAGCUCAGUCUGUGCUGGUGGAAGAGGAGGAAGGAUGUGUGCUGCAGGCUCCUGCAGAGGAACCAUCAACUGGAUUAUGCUGUGGAUGACCAGCUGACUGCAGAGAUGGCUGGCAGCAGCUUGACAAGGAGGUGCCCGAAAUGGGCUUUAUGGUAGGAACUGACCCAGGGAAUCUGUUAGGACAGAGGGGGGCAAACUAACGCCUGCAAGCCACAUCCGGUGAAGUAUGGUAGGUGUGGGUCCCCCUGCCCCACACUUGCCACUAGAUGUGACUACCGGGGUCUCCUGAUAUAAACUGAGUCUUUGCUCUGCCUCACCCAGGGGCUACAGACUGAUUGUUUGUUCUGCCCUAACAGGGAAUCCUGACAACCAUGUGACUGGGUGUGUCAACCCCACAUUGAGCAAACAGGCACAGCUCCCACUCAACAUGCCAAGCCCUCGUGACAUGCUGUGUGUCACCAGUUCUGUUACUAUCAAAAUUUACCACCACCUAAAGCAGCGUUUCCUCAACCCGAGGGUUGGGACCCAAAAUUGAGUCACCAGAAUGUUUCAAAGGGUUGUGUGGCAGUUCCUGUCCCAUAGGGCUGGCAGGGCUCACCACUCUGCUCCAGGCAUUGCAACCUCUGGGGUCCCAGUGCCACUCAGGUUUGGCCCAGCCUUCCUGAUGACGGGAGUCUGAGUAGGCCAUAUUUGAGUGAGUGGCCCUGAAACCCCAUGAGCCAGGUCACAACUCUACUCUCUCAAAUUUGGUCCAGUCGGGGGUGUGGCUGAACCUGAGUGGCGCUGCAACCCCAGAGGUUGCAAUGCCUAGAGCGCAGAGCUAAGCCCAGCCAAACCCACAGCAGCUGUAGGAGCUGCCACCAUGGGGUGAGUACCAGGCAGGACUCAACCCUCCUCCCCCAGGGUGCAGGAUCCAACUUAAGCCACCCUAGCCAUAAACAUUUACAAAUGGGUCCUGAGCCCAAAAAGGUUGAGAACCGUUGGCCUAGAGGUCCCAACCACGAUCAGAUCCUCAUUCUGCUAAGCAGUGCAUAUACAUGUAGUAAACAGGGACAAUCUACAACCUAAGUAGAUAAGACAAAAAAUAUUAUCCCCAUUUUACAGAUUGCAAAUUGUGGCAUAGAGAUUAAGGUUUUGUCUACACAAUUUGCACUGGUAUAACUGAGGAAGUACAUUUAAACCCGCGUAGUUAAAUCAGUACAUGUUAAGCUUGCCUUUGCAUUAAGUAAAAAGGAGUACUUGUGGCACCUUAGACUAACAAAUUUAUUUGAGCACAAGCUUUCAUGAGCUACAGCCCACUUCAUCGGAUGCAUGCAGUGGAAAAUACAGGGGGAGAUUUUAUAUACACAGAGA